rnacentral:tRNA from 1 species
GAGGGUACAGCUCAGUGGUGGAGCACAUGCUUAGCAUGCACGAGGUCCUGGUUUCAAUCCCCAGUACUUCCA